rnacentral:tRNA from 1 species
GGCUGGUUAGCUCAGUUGGUCAGAGUGUGGUGCCAAGGUUGUAGGUUCAAUCCCUGUACUUGCCA